rnacentral:lncRNA from 10 species
AGAGCUUGAUCCACUCGGGAGAACUAGGAGGAAACAAAAAAGCAAGCCUGAACCGAAUGUAUACUAUACACCCAAGGCACUCUGUUCAGGAUAAUAUACAGAUUAGUUCAUUGAGUCCUUACAAUACUACUUUUUUGUUAGAAAAAGAAUGGUAACGUUUCUGAAAUUAAGAACUGAGGAUAGAGCGUGGUAAGGCCAGGGUAGUAUAAGACUGAAAUAGCCAGCUGGCUUUUCCCACCUAGUAAGGGCCAACAUAAAUGUCAGUUUUGAUCACCAAAACUCUAACUUCAAUUGGAAAAAAAAAUCUUAGAUUUUGCAAAAAAAAAAAAAAAAAGUGUGUGAAACUGUAAAAGGCUGUUUUGCACGAGUGAAGUCACGUGGCGGAGAACUGAGGCACACUGCACUGGCAGCCUGCACCAACUGCCAAACCACCUCGAACCUUCCGGCCCAGCUGACAUCCAGCCGAAUGAAGCCACAUGAGUAAGUCCAGGUGAAACCAGCAGAGGACCUGCCAAGCCAACCCACAGAAUUGGGAGGAAAAUAUUAUUGUUUUUUAAGCCACUAAGAUUUGGGGUAGUUUUUUGGGGGUUAGCAAACAUAACAUUGAUCAAAUGAGCCAGACACAUGAGUAUAUUAUACUGAAUAACUCCAUUUAUAUAAAUUUCAAGAAGAGGUCAAGAACUUGAGGGGGUGGGUGGUGUCUGAAUUACAUAGGUAUAUGCACUUUGUGAAAAUUCUCCAGGCUGGGAUUGGGUGAAUCUGCCUUCUUACAUUCCUCUGAAGGGAUGAAGGGAUUCUCUGCGGAAAGGAACCAUCAGAACCCCUGCACAAUAUUUUUUUUUUUUUUUUUUUUUUUUUUGGCGAUGGAGUCUUACUUUGUCACCCAGGCUAGAGUGUAGUGGCACGAUCUCGGCUCACUGAGAACUCCACCUCCCGGAUUCAAGCGAUUCUCACUCCUCAGCCUCCAGGGUAGCUGAGAUUACAGGCGCAUGCCACCACACCUG